UAAUCCUAAUAGAUAAAACCUGCUCAAUGAGUAUAAUUUUAAAUUUACUUUAAAUAGCCGCAAUUUCUGUGCUAAGGUAGCAUAAUCAUUUGCCUUUUAAUUAAAAGCUAGAAUGAAAGGUUAAACAUUUAAACUACUUUAUUAAAACUAAAUUCUUAAUUUAUAUUAAAUAUAAAAAUAUAUUUUUAACUUAAAGAGACGACAAGACCCUAUUAAACUUAACUAAAGUUAAACUGGGGCAGUUUAUUAAUUAAUAUUUUAAUAAAAUUACUUUAAUAAAUAUCUAAUAAAAUUAAACUAAACAAGUUACUAUAGGGAUAACAGCGUUAUAUUUUUUGAAAGUUCAUAUUUAAAAAAAAUGAUUGCGACCUCGAUGUUGAAUUAUAUUUCUAUAUAAACGAAACCGUUAUAUAAGUAGGUCUGUUCGACCUUUAAAAUAUUACAUGAUCUGAGUUCAAACMR
rnacentral:rRNA from 1 species